UGGGAAUUUUGGACAAUGGGCGAAAGCCUGAUCCAGCAAUGCCGCGUGUGUGAAGAAGGCCUUCGGGUUGUAAAGCACUUUUGUCCGGAAAGAAAUCCUUGGCUCUAAUACAGUCGGGGGAUGACGGUACCGGAAGAAUAAGCACCGGCUAACUACGUGCCAGCAGCCGCGGUAAUACGUAGGGUGCAAGCGUUAAUCGGAAUUACUGGGCGUAAAGCGUGCGCAGGCGGUUUGCUAAGACCGAUGUGAAAUCCCCGGGCUCAACCUGGGAACUGCAUUGGUGACUGGCAGGCUAGAGUAUGGCAGAGGGGGGUAGAAUUCCACGUGUAGCAGUGAAAUGCGUAGAGAUGUGGAGGAAUACCGAUGGCGAAGGCAGCCCCCUGGGCCAAUACUGACGCUCAUGCACGAAGGCGUGGGGGAGCAAAACAGGAUUAGAUACCCUGGUAGUCCACGCCCUAAAACGAUGUCAACUAGUUGUUGGGGAUUCAUUUCCUUAGUAACGUAGCUAACGCGUGAAGUUGACCGCCUGGGGAGUACGGUCGCAAAGAUUAAAACUUAAAUGAAUUGACGGGGUCAUAGCUG
rnacentral:rRNA from 1 species